rnacentral:rRNA from 1 species
AGGAUGAACGCUGGCGGCGUGCUUAACACAUGCAAGUCGAACGAUGAAGCGGAGCUUGCUCUGUGGAUUAGUGGCGAACGGGUGAGUAACACGUGAGUAACCUGCCCUUGACUCUGGGAUAAGCACUGGAAACGGUGUCUAAUACCGGAUACGAGCUUCAGCCGCAUGGCUAGGAGUUGGAAAGAAUUUCGGUCAAGGAUGGACUCGCGGCCUAUCAGGUAGUUGGUGAGGUAAUGGCCCACCAAGCCUACGACGGGUAGCCGGCCUGAGAGGGUGACCGGCCACACUGGGACUGAGACACGGCCCAGACUCCUACGGGAGGCAGCAGUGGGGAAUAUUGCACAAUGGGCGCAAGCCUGAUGCAGCAACGCCGCGUGAGGGACGACGGCCUUCGGUUGUAAACCUCUUUAGUAGGGAAGAAGCGAAAGUGACGGUACCUGCAGAAAAGCACCGGCUAACUACGCGCCAGCAGCCGCGGU